rnacentral:misc_RNA from 1 species
AACGCACCUUGCGCCCCUUGGCAUUCCGAGGGGCACACCCGUUUGAGUGUCGUGAAAUUCUCAAACCUUCUUGGUUUCUUGACCAAGACGGCUUUGGACUUUGGAGGCGUUUUGCUGGCUUUGCAAAAAGCCAGCUCCUCUUAAAUGCAUUAGUGGGGUCCCCUUUGCCGAUCCCCAGGCGUGAUAAGAUGUUUCUACGUCUGGGAUUUGCUCUGUUUCCUUGGGAACCCGCUUCCAACAGUCUCAUGGGAGACAUCGUUCGAGCUUGCUCGACCCACGAACCUUGACCUCAAAUCGGGUGAGACUACCCGCUGAACUUAA